rnacentral:sRNA from 1 species
GGAAAAGGAAGUCUACAGCCGGAGAGGACGCGCUCUGGGGGUAGAAGGAAUCCUAGGACGGAAAGGAUAAGGAAAGCAAUAGAAGAACUGCUUAAGGAGGCAAAACGUGGGAAAACUAGAGCUGAAACA